GCCUUCGUGAUGUAAUUGGUAGUACACUCGACGUAUAUUCGAGAGAUCCAGGGUUCGAAUCCCGGCGAGGGCA
rnacentral:tRNA from 1 species